CCUACGGGGUGCAGCAGUGGGGAAUAUUGCACAAUGGGGGAAACCCUGAUGCAGCGACGCCGCGUGAGUGAAGAAGUAUUUCGGUACGUAAAGCUCUAUCAGCAGGGAAGAAAAUGACGGUACCUGACUAAGAAGCCCCGGCUAACUACGUGCCAGCAGCCGCGGUAAUACGUAGGGGGCAAGCGUUAUCCGGAUUUACUGGGUGUAAAGGGAGCGUAGACGGCAGCGCAAGUCUGGAGGGAAAUCCCAUGGCUUAACCAUGGAACUGCUUUGGAAACUGUGCAGCUAGAGUGCAGGAGAGGUAAGCGGAAUUCCUAGUGUAGCGGUGAAAUGCGUAGAUAUUAGGAGGAACACCAGUGGCGAAGGCGGCUUACUGGACUGUAACUGACGUUGAGGCUCGAAAGCGUGGGGGGCAAACAGGAUUAGAUACCCGGGUAGUC
rnacentral:rRNA from 1 species